rnacentral:rRNA from 1 species
CAGAGGGUGCAAACGUUGUUCGGAAUUACUGGGCGUAAAGCGCGUGUAGGCGGCAGCGUGUGUCGGGCGUGAAAUCCCACGGCUCAACCGUGGAAGUGCACCCGAAACUGCGCAGCUAGAGUCCUGGAGAGGAAGGUGGAAUACUUGGUGUAGAGGUGAAAUUCGUAGAUAUCAAGUGGAACACCGGUGGCGAAGGCGGCCUUCUGGACAGUGACUGACGCCGAGACGCGAAAGCGUGGGGAGCAAACAGGAUUAGAUACCCUGGUAGUCCACGCCGUAAACGAUGAGUGCUAGGUGUCACGGGCUUUGACCCUCGUGGUGCCGAAGCUAACGCGUUAAGCACUCCGCCUGGGGAGUACGGCCGCAAGGCUA